rnacentral:rRNA from 1 species
ACGGCGAGAAAUCGCCGACAACACCGCAUGGGCUUGCCUUUCUCAGUGAGGGAGGCAAGCAAAGCCCGGCUUCGUGAGAGGCUAGGCGCUGGGGGAUGGGCCCGCGGCCGAUUAGCUAGUUGGUGAGGUAACGGCUCACCAAGGCGACGAUCGGUAGCUGGUCUGAGAGGACGAUCAGCCACACUGGGAUUGAGAACGGCCCAG